GAAAAGGGCGCUCGUUACCUGGACACGUUCUGCUUGUCUCCCUUCCUCACGAAGCAAACCCCACCGCGUCCGCCGCCGCCCAUCCCUGCUCCUCCGGCGUCGGCCACCGAACAAGGUGUCCUCCUCAGAUCCGCUUCUCCCCCAAACCUUCUCGUCUUCACGUUCCACCAGCCCGCCAUGAUUGUUUCUGAGGAGGGGAAGAAGGGGAUGACAUCGAGGUUCUGACGGAGGCCCUAGCUCAAGGCGGCGAGUUGCAGAGGGUUCUUGCCGGCUCAUUCAGCGCGUCUGAGGCGUUGGAGGGAGCCAACUACCAACUGACUAGAAAGAUGGAGGUGUUGCAGUUGGUCGAUUGCGACUAUGAGACAGCUGCUUCAGGCAGGGAGAUACUAGAGGUGGCUCGAUCGUCGCCUGACAGGCUGGACAGGUGGCAGAGGUGGAGGUCGUGCGAGGCGGCUCUUCGGCCGAUCUGUUCGUUCAAGCCCUUGCCCCUUGGUUGCCUGCCUUGCUAGCAAGCACGACCACUGCCAUGUCUUCUCCGGUGCUACCAGCAAGCGGCCGACCAUGCCGCUGCCAUGCCUCCGGCGCUCCCUGGCAGCCAGCCCUACAUGUCCAAAUUUGAACCAAAAUAUGGGGAUGACGUUCAUUCUUGGCCGGUUAUUGAUUGCGCUUCCGAAUAAGUUGGAGCAAGGAAAAGGAAGAGUAAGAAGAAAUCCAUGAAAGAAAGAUGGUUGAUCGGCUGAUGACGACGCGGCUGUUCCCUCCAACGUUAAUACCGCGACUGUCAACAAGGUCGUCGUCUUCAAGGCCUCGAGCUGGCUGCAACCAAGCACGACCUCUUGCUCGUCCUACACCGUGCUUGCAAUCGCACGUGAUAGCCACGGGCUGCUCCAUGCACGGACGACAAGCACGACGGCCCCGACCAAGGUGCUCUCGCCCCUCUAAUCUUCCCUGUGCCUCUAUCCAUCUCCCCCUGGUAGUUGCUGUUUGGAGUAGCUCUAUUGGUUAGACUUAUUUAGAUGUAGCAUUCCGGAUUUGCAGUAGUGCGCAGUAAUCCUAUCAAAGGCAUGCUAUUGUGUUUCUUCAAGUUCCAACUGUGGUUUUAAGUUGGGGCUAAGCAAGUGAAGAGAUUUAUGUUCAUUAUGUUUUCACAAUUGCUAGGGCUUUUAGGUUAGAAGGACAUUUCUUUGCGACACUGCAAUGUGACAGUUUACCUACUUCUUAUGUUUAGUUCCUGAAUCCCAAUAAAACUAUAAAAAUUCUAAGCUACCUCUACACUGACAGAGCUUACAAGUUGGCGUAAUUAGUAUGAACACACAUGUUUACCUUAUCAGUGUGACCCCCAACAGGAAGUAGCUUCACAUCUAAUAAGAAGUGAUACACACAACCUUGUUUAUGCUUGCUCGAGCUGAAGAGAUCUCUCGGAAGAUAAAUGCUGUGUAAAAUGCACAUGGAACUUAAUAUAGAAGAAAGUAAUGAUAGUUAAACACUUAAUUAGCAGUAAAAAGAGCUGACACUAUACUGAAAUAUAAAGCUGGGAACCUGGACGGCUCUACCUUUUUCAUGAUAAUCAUCCGGCAUACUUAUCUGAACUGAACAAAUCAAGGAACCGAUUGAACUACCACAUAAAACAGUGGAAAAAAAAUAGGAAGAAAAUAGUCUAGGAUGUGAUCGACAUGGCCAUCGGACAUUGUGGCGAUAUUGGCAGUUUAUUUGACAACAUAUGUUUGGUUUAUUUCCACUACAAGGCAAAGCAAGUGAAAAGAACAAAUAAAUCUUGUGUGGCUGUGUGAUGCGACUCUUGUUGGUAUACGACUGUGACGAUAUACUGAAUAUUAUUUAUCUUUUUCCUUUCUGAAUUUUGUAGUAGAGGAGGAACAGUGUUUUUUUGUUAUCCAUCAGGAACUACGCUUUUGUGCUAUUGAAUAAUGGCCUCAAUUUUUUUCUGAUGGAAUUAGUGAUGAAAAUGACUUCUCGUUGAUCACAGUAGUGGUGGAGGGAAUCAAGAAGUUGCCUCAUGAACUGUCAUUUAUCUCUCUAACUUCCAUUUACUCAAAGUGGUACAUCAUCAUUUCUUAUGUGUAUUUUUAAUAAUUAUGAUGCUAUCUUCAUAAUUAUUCACAAACUGAGCAUCUAGCUUCGUUUCGUUGACAUGGUAAUAUUUACAUUCUCCUGGACAAUGAUAUGUUUCGUUGGUUUGACAUUGAAAUUUAGCGGACUGUUUCAAUAUCCAUGCCUUCUGUUGUAGUGUCAGUAGAUCUUCUCUUUUCUCCUUGUUUACUGUGAGAUGAUAUAUCUAUUUCUAUAAUAUAGGUUAACCAAAGGAUAGCUGUGUUUGCUCAAACAAAGUUCCAAAGAGAUGGCACCGAGUUGAGUACAGGAUUAAGAGAUAAAGGUCUCUGUUGAUUCGAUUGCAGUGAAGUGCAAACCAUCUGGUGGACUGCCGCGUAUAUUUAUUAUGUGGACUGCCGUGUGAUACUCAAGCUGUCAAUCCAUAUUCUAGAUGCAUUUUAUCUAACCAUAAUGAUGUUGGUUUCAGAUAAUUUCAAGUCGCAAGGUAUUGGCAUAGACCCAAGCAUGUUUGUGUUUCAAGACGAGGAGCUAGGCCUGACGGCAACUACGAGGAAGAGGUGGUGCAGUGGAAGAAUACGGCGUGGACGAUUCCAGCGAGAUGUGGUUCGAGUGGAUGUCAGUGAUGCAACAAUGAGAAGAUCCUCUGCUUUGGCUGCUCUCCAGUCCUCCCAAUCCCUCUAUUUUCUUAGAAUAUAUUUCUCUUUAUUUCAUGAGUAGGGACAUAAUCUUUCAAAGUUUCUACAAAGGGUUUGCUGACCACCUGAUUGAUAUUCCUCUUCUGUUUGCCUGUCUUUUGGAGCAUGUUAGGCUUUAAUUUCAAUUUAAUGAUUUACUCUAUCAUCCACCUUGUAAGACUGUCACCUAUAUAAUAAUAUGGACCUAUUACCUUGCUA